UAGGGAAUCUUCCGCAAUGGACGCAAGUCUGACGGAGCAACGCCGCGUGAGUGAAGAAGGAGGUCGGUUCGUAAAACUCUGUUGGUAGAGAAGAACAGCGCAUAGAGUAACUGUUAUGCGUGUGACGGUAUCUAACGAGAAAGCCAAGGCUAACUACGUGCCAGCAGCCGCGGUAAGACGUAGGUGGCAAGCGUUGUCCGGAUUUAUUGGGCGUAAAGCGAGCGCAGGCGGUCAAUUAAGUCUGAUGUGAAAGCCCCCGGCUCAACCGGGGAGGGUCAUUGGAAACUGGUUGACUUGAGUGCAGAAGAGGAGAGUGGAAUUCCAUGUGUCGCGGUGAAAUGCGUAGAUAUAUGGAGGAACACCAGUGGCGAAGGCGACUCUCUGGUCUGUAACUGCCGCUGAGGCUCGAAAGCGUGGGUAGCAAACCGG
rnacentral:rRNA from 1 species